UACGGAGGGAGCUAGCGUUGUUCGGAAUUACUGGGCGUAAAGCGCGCGUAGGCGGCCAGGUAGGUCUGCUGUGAAAACUCGAGGCUUAACCUCGAGCUGUCGGCGGAAACCAUCUGGCUAGAGUCCGGAAGAGGAGAAUGGAAUUCCCGGUGUAGCGGUGAAAUGCGCAGAUAUCAGGAGGAACACCGAUGGCGAAGGCGGGUCUCUGGACAGUUCCUGACACUGAGACACGAAGGCCAGGGGAGCAAACGGG
rnacentral:rRNA from 1 species